GUGCUUAUAAUUUAAGAGACGUCAAAACUUAAGUGGAAUUCACAAACGCAAAUCAAGACAUCUAAGCGCGUGAUUCCAAUGGAAUGCACCGGACAUUAUUGUUUAUUUUGAUAUUGUGAUUUACGAGAAAAUACAGGUAAGCAGAACACAGUAUAUGGGUUUUUUGGUGAAUUCAAUAACAGUUUUUAAUUUUCGGAAAAUUGGCACAUAGAAUUGAGACAUAAAACAACUAUUGGCGGUUUUAGAAGACGGAAAUGUUUCUGAAGAUGGUUUGGAAGAUGAAAGUGAAGAUGACGAAACCUUUUUAGCUUAUGCAAGAGAGAUAAUUCAAGAGAAAGAAGACGAGGAUGCAGAGGAUCAUGAAGAUCCUACCUAUAGCGAUCCACCACUGGUUCAAGAUUUUCCUGACUCAUUGAGUAAUUAUUUAU